AUUCUGUACAUAUGAGGGGCUGCAACAAGUAAAACUGAAACUGACAGCAAAACCUGGCACUGAAUCUGAACGACUGAUCCCAGAAUAUCACAGAGAGGAGAGAAGUAAGACACCAAGGAUGGCUUGCAUCAUGGAGAGUUGUGCCUGUGCAGUUACAGAAGCCGGCGCUGAAGUGGCAAUGCAGGGUGUGACUAUAUCCCCUUUUUGUGGUGUGCUGAUUUUUGCUGGGGUAGCAGUAGUGGGAGUAGCAGUGGGAGUGGCCGUGUACAAGCACCUGGACAACAAAGACAAACAAAAGGGAAGCUGACAGAAGAGCUCAUUCCUCUAAAAUGAACUGCCAAAGCAUCGAUGUAAUCACGACUCCAUAAUAAAAACAAACUUGGCAGACGAA